GAUGAAGAACGUAGCGAAAUGCGAUAAGUAGUGUGAAUUGCAGAAUUCAGUGAAUCAUCGAAUCUUUGAACGCACAUUGCGCCCUUUGGUAUUCCUUAGGGCAUGCCUGUUCGAGCGUCAUUUAAACCUUCAAGCUAAGCUUGGUGUUGGGUGACUGUCCGCUUCACUGCGGACUCGCCUCAAAAUUAUUGGCGGCCGGUACAUUGGCUUCGAGCGCAGCAGAAACGCGAACUCGGGCCCGUCGUAUUGGCUCCCAGAAGCUAUCUUCAUAAUUUUGACCUCGGAUCAGGUAGGGAUACCCGCUGAACUUAAGCAUAUCAAUAAGCGGAGGA
rnacentral:misc_RNA from 1 species